AAAGAUUAUAAAACAAAGCUUUCAUUUCCUCUACUCAACCAAAGAACAAGUAAACCUGUUCAAUUGUUUAUAAUAGUGGCAAUAAAUCAUCACUGAUUAUGAACGUAAAACAAUAACCAAGUACCUUCUGUGUUUGAUUAUCUAUGACGUGCCCCGUGAUAGGGCAUACCUAACCUACUAACAUGGAUACCAAGGGCAUAACUUGCACUUGAUAUGGACACAUGGAAUAUGCAAGAAAUACAAGAAUAUGGGCUGGACUUAUGAGGAAGAAUUAAGCUUGUUUGCAUUAAAGAAGACUAGACCUAAAGAAGGCCGGAUUUGGGGGGCAAGUCUUGGUUUGGUUGUGUGGGCCAAAAGGAAGAAACUUAGGCCCAAUGAACCCAUAAUGGCAUGUAAGAAGGUUCCUAGAAAAGUUUGGAGUUGUU
rnacentral:misc_RNA from 1 species